rnacentral:rRNA from 1 species
GUUCAAUUCUGGCUCAGGUCGAAGACGCUGGCGGGAUGCUUUACACACAUGCAAGUCGAACGGCAGCACGGACUUCGGUCUGGUGGCGAGUGGCGAACGGGUGAGUAAUGUAUCGGAACGUGCCUAGUAGCGGGGAUAUUAUAAGCGUAGCCUAAUACCGCAUACGCCCUUCGGGGGAAAGCGGGGGACCUUCGGGCCUCGCACUAUUAGAGCGGCCGAUAUCGGAUUAGCUAGUUGGUGGGGUAACGGCUCACCAAGGCGACGAUCCGUAGCUGGUUUGAAGGACGACCAGCCACACUGGGACUGAGACACGGCCCAGACUCCUACGGGAGGGCAGCAGUGGGGAAUUUUGGACAAUGGGGAAACCUGAUCCAGCCAUCCCGCGUGUGCGAUGAAGGCCUUCGGGUUGUAACACAGCGGAAAGAAACGGCACGGGAUAAUACCCCGUGCAACUGACAGUACCUGCAGAAUAAGCACAGUAACUACGUGUAGCCGCGGUAAUACGUAAGGGUGCAAGCGUUAAUCGGAAUUACUGGGCGUAAAGCGUGCGCAGGCGGUUCGGAAGAAGAUGUGAAAUCCCAGAGCUUAACUUUGGAACUGCAUUUUUAACUACCGAGCUAGAGAGUGUGUCAGAGGAGGUGGAAUUCCGCGAUAGCAGUGAAAUGCGUAGAUAUGCGGAGGAACACGAUGGCGAAGAAAGGCAGCCUCCUGGGAUAACACUGACGCUCAUGCACAACGUGGGGAAUACCAAGCAGUUAGAUACCCUAAAGUGAGUCGCCUAAACGAUGUCAACUAGCUGUUGGGGCCUUCGGGCCUUGGUGGCACCAACUAACGCGUGAAGUUGACCGCCUGAGAUACUGGUGCCAGGUCAAACUCAAAGGAAUUGACGGGGACCCGCACAAGCGGUGGAUGAUGUGGAUUAAUUCGAUGCAACGCGAAAAACCUUACCCACCCUUAGCAUGUCUGGAAUCCCGGGAAUUUGGGAGUGCUCGCAAGAGAACCGGAACACAAGGUGCUGCAUGGCUGUCGUCAGCUCGUGUCGUGAGAUGUUGGGUUAAGUCCCGCAACGAGCGCAACCCUUGUCAUUAGUUGCUACGAAAGGCACUCAAGUAGGGCUGCCAUUGACAAACCGGAGGAAGGUGGGGAUGACGUCAAGUCCUCAUGGCCCUUAUGGGUAGGGCUUCACGUGUAAUGGUCGGGACAAGAGGUGUCGCCAGCGCCCGCGAGGGGGAGCCAAUCCAAGCUCGAUCAUAGUCGGAUCGCAGUCUGCAACUGUGCGUGAAGUCGGAAAUCGCUAGUAAUCGCGGAUCAGCAUGUCGCGGUGAAUACGUUCCCGGUCUUGCACAACCGUCACCAUGGGAGUGGGUUUACCAGAAGUAGUUAGCCUAACCGUAAGGGGAGGGCGAUUACCACGGUAGGAUUCAUGACUGGGGGUGAAGUCGUAACAAGGUAG